AUUGAACGCUGGCGGCAUGCUUUACACAUGCAAGUCGAACGGUAACAGGCCGCAAGGUGCUGACGAGUGGCGAACGGGUGAGUAAUGCAUCGGAACGUGCCCAGUCGUGGGGGAUAACUACUCGAAAGAGUAGCUAAUACCGCAUACGAUCUAUGGAUGAAAGCGGGGGACCGUAAGGCCUCGCGCGAUUGGAGCGGCCGAUGUCAGAUUAGGUAGUUGGUGGGGUAAAGGCUCACCAAGCCAACGAUCUGUAGCUGGUCUGAGAGGACGACCAGCCACACUGGGACGGAGAACGGGCCCAAACUCCUACGGGAGGAAGGAGUGGGGAAUUUUGGACAAGGGGCGCAAGCCUGAUCCAGAAAUGCCGCGGGCAGGAAGAAGGCCUUCGGGUUGUAAACUGCUUUUGUACGGAACGAAACGGCUCUGGUUAAUACCCGGGGCUAAUGACGGUACCGUAAGAAUAAGCACCGGCUAACUACGU
rnacentral:rRNA from 1 species